rnacentral:rRNA from 1 species
AUUGAACGCUGGCGGCAGGCCUAACACAUGCAAGUCGAGCGGAUGAAGGGAGCUUGCUCCUGGAUUCAGCGGCGGACGGGUGAGUAAUGCCUAGGAAUCUGCCUGGUAGUGGGGGAUAACGUCCGGAAACGGGCGCUAAUACCGCAUACGUCCUGAGGGAGAAAGUGGGGGAUAUUCGGACCUCACGCUAUCAGAUGAGCCUAGGUCGGAUUAGCUAGUUGGUGGGGUAAAGGCCUACCAAGGCGACGAUCCGUAACUGGUCUGAGAGGAUGAUCAGUCACAUUGGAACUGGAACACGUUCCAGACUCCUACGGGAGGCAGCAGUGGGGAAUAUUGGACAAUGGGCGAAAGCCUGAUCCAGCCAUGCCGCGUGUGUGAAGAAGGUCUUCGGAUUGUAAAGCACUUUAAGUUGGGAGGAAGGGCAGUAAGUUAAUACCUUGCUGUUUUGAGGUUACCAACAGAAUAAGCACCGGCUAACUUCGUG